rnacentral:rRNA from 1 species
AUGAAGGAGCGGUUGGGAGCUCUGAGAGGUUCUAUGGCUGCUUGUGCAGAGAGCCCCACUACACCCAAGAAUCCCAUUGUGGAAUUGAUAGACAGCGAUGAUGAUGUGUUUGACAAGAUUUCUGGCGUGGGAAGAGUCACGAGGAGCGCUGCUGCCAAAGGUUUAUCUACCCUUGCUGGAAUAGUGGCUCGUAGAGCUGGUGGUGCUAGGAAGGAUCCUUCUUUGGAUUAUGGCAAUGUUCAGCUUCACCCUCAUAAAUUCCCUCACCUGGACAAGGCUCGCAAGUUGUAUAAUCUGUUGCUUAGUGAUGAAUGGCGUGAGAAGUAUGCCGAGAAUACAUUCUCAAUGAUACCUCAGCCUGAUGAAAGCGUAACUAGCUUCACUGGGAAACACAUCUGGGAAGUUUUUUCACCUCGGCAAAUGAUGGAGGGUGAUGUAAUGGACUUCCUCAUUGAUGAUUGGAAGCAAGAUCCCGAGAGAAAUGCUGAUUUCGCAUCUGGGAAAAGGGUAUUGCUGAGUCCAUAUUUCAUCACGGUUGUGCUUGACUGUACGUUUUACGGUGAUGAAAAUAAAGUGUUUAAUCUGGAGAGUGCAGCGAGAGAUUUCAAGAGCUAUGUUAAAGAUAAGGAAGUCUUGCUUAGUGCCGACCUUAUCAUGAUGGCUCUAUUCAAGCCUAAGAUUUUAGCAAAGGAUAAGAAAGUGAACCACUUUUCCUUAUAUGUCAUGAAUCGGUACCGAAGUAUCGUUGACAUCCUUGACUCUUUACCUUAUCCGAAGAACUGCCGUCCUUCAAAGAACACCUAUCAUAAAGAUUGCGAGUAG